GGUCAAGUUAGUAAGGGCAUACGGCGGAUGCCUAGGCGCUGAGAGGCGAAGAAGGGUGCGGACAGCUGCGAAAAGCCACGGGGAGCCGCAAGCAGGCCUCGAUCCGUGGAUACCCGAAUGGGGCAACCCACUUGGAGUCAUAUCCAAGUAUCCCCCGCUGAAUCGAUAGGCGUGGGAGGCCAACCCGGGGAACUGAAACAUCUCAGUACCCGGAGGAAAAGAAAUCAACCGAGAUUCCCUCAGUAGCGGCGAGCGAAAGGGGAAGAGCCUAAACCGCCUCUUCGGAGGCGGGGUUGCGGGACCUUCACUAUGUCCCAAUUGUCUUAGUCGAAGCGGUCUGGAAAGGCCCGGCACAGCAGGUAACACCCCUGUAGGCGAAAAGGCAAGAAGGAUAGAAGGGAUCCCAAGUACCGCGGGGCACGUGAAAUCCCGUGGGAAUCCGGGGGGACCACCCUCCAAGGCUAAAUACUCCUCAGCGACCGAUAGUGCACAAGUACCGUGAGGGAAAGGUGAAAAGCACCCCGGAAGGGGAGUGAAAGAGAACCUGAAACCGUAUGCUUACAAGCAGUCAGAGCGGUUUAACCGUGAUGGCGUGCCUUUUGUAGAAUGAACCGGCGAGUUGCGGUCACGAGCAAGGUUAAGGCGAAAAGCCGAAGCCGAAGCGAAAGCGAGUCUGAACAGGGCGCAUAGUUCGUGGCUGCAGACCCGAAACCGGGUGAUCUACCCAUGUCCAGGGUGAAGCGGAGGUAAAACUUCGUGGAGGCCCGAACCGACCGACGUUGAAAAGUCGGCGGAUGAGGUGUGGGUAGGGGAGAAAUUCCAAUCGAACCCGGAGAUAGCUGGUUCUCCCCGAAAUAGCUUUAGGGCUAGCCUCGGGAUACAAGAAUGCGGGAGGUAAAGCGCUGAUAGGGCUAGGGGCCUUCACCGGUUACCGAACCCUGUCAAACUCAGAAUGCCCGCAUUUAUGCCCGGGAGUCAGACGGCGAGUGCUAAGAUCCGUCGUCAAGAGGGAAACAGCCCAGACCGACAGCUAAGGCCCCCAAGUGCCUGUUAAGUGGAAAACGAUGUGGCGUUGCCCAGACAACCAGGAUGUUGGCUUAGAAGCAGCCAUCAUUGAAAGAGUGCGUAAUAGCUCACUGGUCGAGUGACGCUGCGCGGAAAAUGACACGGGGCUAAACAGGCCGCCGAAGCUUCGGCAAGACGUAAGUCUUGGGUAGGGGAGCGUUCCUUGGGCGUAGAAGUUCAGCCGGAAGGCUGGGUGGAGCGCAAGGAAGUGAGAAUGCCGGUAUGAGUACGCGAAAAGGCAGGUGAGAAUCCUGCCCGCCGCAAGCCUAAGGUUUCCUGGGGAAGGCUCGUCCGCCCAGGGUAAGUCGGGACCUAAGCCGAGGCCGAAAGGCGUAGGUGAUGGACAACAGGUGGAGAUUCCUGUACCACGUUGGAUCGUUUGACCGAUGGGGGGACGCAGGAGGAUAGGUGAACCAUGCCGCCGGUCGAGCAUGGCCAAAGACGGUAGCGGAGCGAUAGGCAAAUCCGUCGCUCAUCAACGCGAAGGUCUGACGGGGAGCGAACCUUAGUAGCGAAGUCACUGAUUCCAGACUGCCAAGAAAAGCCUCUAGGGAGAGACAACGUGCCCGUACCGCAAACCGACACAGGUAGGCGAGGAGAGAAUCCUCAGGCGCGCGAGCAAACCCUCGUUAAGGAACUCGGCAAAAUGACCCCGUAACUUCGGGAGAAGGGGUACUCCGGCGAGCUAUGACAUCAUAGCAUCGAGGGAGUCGCAGUGAAGAGGCCCAGGCGACUGUUUAGCAAAACACACAGGUCCCUGCCAAACCGCAAGGUGACGUAUAGGGGCUGACGCCUGCCCGGUGCUGGAAGGUUAAGGGGAGAGGUUAACGCUUUGAACCGAAGCCCCAGUAAACGGCGGCCGUAACUAUAACGGUCCUAAGGUAGCGAAAUUCCUUGUCGGGUAAGUUCCGACCCGCACGAAAGGCGUAACGAUCUGGGCACUGUCUCAACGAGGGACUCGGCGAAAUUGAUCUACCCGUGAAGAAGCGGGUUACCUGCGAUAGGACAGAAAGACCCCGUAGAGCUUUACUGUAGCCUGACAUUGGAUUUUGGUGUGUUUUGUACAGGAUAGGUGGGAGACGUGGAAGCCAGGCCGCCAGGUUUGGUGGAGUCGACGGUGGGAUACCACUCUGAAUGCACUGAAGUUCUAACCUGGCGCCCUGAAGCGGGCGCAGGGACCGUGUCAGGUGGGCAGUUUGACUGGGGCGGUCGCCUCCUAAAAGGUAACGGAGGCGCCCAAAGGUUCCCUCAGACUGGUUGGAAAUCAGUCUAAAGAGUGCAAAGGCAUAAGGGAGCUUGACUGCGAGACAGACAAGUCGAGCAGGGACGAAAGUCGGGCUUAGUGAUCCGGCGGUAUGUGAGUGGAAAUGCCGUCGCUCAACGGAUAAAAGCUACCUCGGGGAUAACAGGCUUAUCUCCCCCAAGAGUCCACAUCGACGGGGAGGUUUGGCACCUCGAUGUCGGCUCAUCGCAUCCUGGGGCUGAAGUAGGUCCCAAGGGUUGGGCUGUUCGCCCAUUAAAGCGGUACGUGAGCUGGGUUCAGAACGUCGUGAGACAGUUCGGUCCCUAUCCAUCGCAGGCGAAGGAAGUUUGACGGGAGCUGCCCCUAGUACGAGAGGACCGGGGUGGACCGACCGCUGGUGUCCCAGUUGUCGUGCCAACGGCAGCGCUGGGUAGCUAUGUCGGGAGCGGAUAAGCGCUGAAAGCAUCUAAGCGCGAAACCGACCCAAAGAUGAGACUUCCCACUCGAAAGAGGUAAGACCCCAGGAGGAUGACCUGGUAGAUCGGCCCGAGAUGUACGCGCCGCGAGGCGUUCAGUCGACGGGUACGAAUCGGUCGAGGACUUGACCUU
rfam:Heliobacterium modesticaldum Ice1, complete genome.